rnacentral:rRNA from 1 species
AUUGAACGCUGGCGGCAUGCCUUACACAUGCAAGUCGAACGGCAGCGGGGGAGAAGCUUGCUUUUCCUGCCGGCGAGUGGCGGACGGGUGAGUAAUACAUCGGAACGUGCCCUGUAGUGGGGGAUAACUAGUCGAAAGAUUAGCUAAUACCGCAUACGACCUGAGGGUGAAAGUGGGGGACCGCAAGGCCUCAUGCUAUAGGAGCGGCCGAUGUCGGAUUAGCUAGUUGGCGGGGUAAAGGCCUACCAAGGCGACGAUCAGUAGCUGGUCUGAGAGGACGAUCAGCCACACUGGGACUGAGACACGGCCCAGACUCCUACGGGGGGCAGCAGUGGGGAAUUUUGGACAAGGGGCGAAAGCCUGAUCCAGCAAUGCCGCGUGUGUGAAGAAGGCCUUCGGGUUGUAAAGCACUUUUGUCCGGAAAGAAAUGGCUCUGGUUAAUACCUGGGGUCGAUGACGGUACCGGAAGAAUAAGGACCGGCUAACUACGUGCCAGCAGCCGCCGUAA